AAGAUGAGAUGCUGGUUUGGGUUGCCUCCUUUUAUAGGUGAAGAGUCCAAGUUCAAUUAGGGUUUGGAGUCCCUAUUUUGAUUUGGUCUUUGUAGUCUUUAAUUCCUCUCUUGAUGUUGAAUUUAAUUGCAAUUGGAAUUCCUUAGGUGAGAAACUCUUUCGUGGCUCUUGGAACUGUGAUGGCAGUGUUUGAAGUGGAUUUGGACUUCUCAAAAUUCGAAUUUCUAUU
rnacentral:lncRNA from 1 species